CUCCCCCUCCUCCCACUAUAAAAUCUGCCUGGCAACUAAACUAAUUGGACUUGGUGAGAAAAAAAAUACAGGAAGAAGUUGCAGUGUUUACUAGGAUGCUAAUUAGCAUUAGCGACUUGUUUUCCCAGGUUAGCUUUUUCAAGUUUGGUUGAUUUGAGUUGUCUGGGCAGUGUUCCCCCCCCCCCCCCCCCCCCACUAUAAAAUCUGCCUGGCAACUAAACUAAUUGGACUUGGUGAGAAAAAAAAAUACAGGAAGAAGUUCCAGUGUUUACUAGGAUACUAAUUAGCAUUAGCGACUUGCUUUCCCAGGUUAGCUUUUUCAAGUUUGGUUGAUUUGAGUUGUCUGGGCAGUGGUCCCCCCCCCCCCCCUCCCCGCCUCCUGUUAUGUCGCCUACCUAAGUGGAUGGUGCCCCAGCCAUUUACUUUAUUGCAUUUUUGGACCCUGGAGAUAAAGCAGAGCCGACUAAGGAAACAUGGCGGCUACAAUAUCCCCCGCACCUGUUCCAGCUCCCUUCAAUGGGUGAACGCACACCACUGAGUACGUUUCCAUGGUUAUUUUUAUUGGUCGUUUUUGCUGACACCCGUUGAAAUGCAACCGCCGGAUCUUAUCGACGCAAAGGCAAAAGAUGCGGAGAUGAUCUGAGGCGAAAAGCGAGGGUACAAAAGAGUUCAGCCAUCUUGCUGACCUCUGCGUGAACUCGGGUUUUGUUGAUGUUCCCCAUGUUGCCGCGGUUCCUCGAGGGGGAAUCUCUAAGCAGCUUUUCCUCCACUUCAAAGCGAGAGAAUAUAGGCCUGCUUUGCAUAAUCAGGUGGGGAACAGCUUUUUGCCAGAGAGGCAGGAAUUAAUUUGUGGCACCGCCAGAUGCAAUCAUUAACACCCUAGUCAUCGACAAUAACGAGAGGAGGAGGGGAAAUUAGAGCAGGAAAUGUAGUUUGGGUUCAGGAGAACGCUGCUCACAAUCAAUUGAACGCUGCAGAUGAAGUUAAUUUGUAUUGCUCUUAUUCCUUCAGAUUGUUUUUUUUUUUUUGCUUGUGUGUUAUUAUAUAAGCCUACGGUUAUACUUUCUUUUUCUAACCAUUUCCUUGACAUACUUUGGAUGAUUUGAAAGGGAGGUUGAGCGUUGGUGUGGA